rnacentral:lncRNA from 1 species
GAAAAUGAAAUUGUCUUAUUUUUUAGAUGAUAAGACCAUAUUCUUUUUUAUAUAUACAUGAAAUUAAGUGGUGUAAAUUGUUCUCAUUACUUUUUCUUAUCUUGACUAACCGCCCAUUCACAUGGAAACUUGAAAAAUCCAAAAACACAAAAAAGCAAUCUAGGAUCACUCAAAAUAUCAUUGUUGUGCUUCAUCUAAUAGUCUCACAACUUUUGUAUUAAAAAUAAAAAUGUGUUUCAUCUAAUAGUCUCACAAUUUUUGCAUUAAAAAUAAAAAUGGUACAUACAUCAAUAUAAAUUUGAAUCAUUUGAAGUUAACUCCUUUAAGACAUCUCAAUUUUUACACUAAAAUCAAACGGGUGAUAUUCUAAUUUUAUCAAACCAAAAUCAUAAUCUUCCAAUCUUAGUUUUGAUUAGAUGUACCGAAUAUUUGUAUGAUAUUUUGAUCGCAUUAAUGAUGGUGAGGAUCCGGUCCACUUGGACUAAGACGAUUGGUCGAAUACCGUGUUCCCAACAAUUGUUUCCUUCUCAUGAUCUCUUUCACCACUUUCUUAACACUCUCAACAAAUGCAUGACUUCCAUUACUACUUGAGAGAGAAGAAGAAGGUACAGAACGAGCAUCAUGGCAGAUCAAAAUGGAUGUGAAGAGAAGAACAAAGCAUAACAUUCUCCAACUUGCCAUAGGAAUUAACUAAUAGCUUUCAAGUAAUAUAGCAAAACCAACGAAAUUUGUGAGGAG